CGGGAUGAAUGAGAGUGGCGCACGGGUGCGUAACGCGUAUGCAACCUACCUGUUACAGGGAGAUAGCCCGGGGAAACCCGGAUUAAUAUCCCAUAGGAUAUAUUAACUGCAUGGUUUAUAUAUUAAAGCCUUCGGGUGGUAACAGACGGGCAUGCGUAGGAUUAGCUAGUUGGAGAGGUAACGGCUCACCAAGGCGACGAUCCUUAGGGGUUCUGAGAGGAAGGUCCCCCACACUGGCACUGAGAUACGGGCCAGACUCCUACGGGAGGCAGCAGUAGGGAAUAUUGGUCAAUGGGCGAGAGCCUGAACCAGCCAUGCCGCGUGCAGGAAGACGGCGUUCUGCGUUGUAAACUGCUUUUAUCUGGGAAGAAAAAGCCCUUGCGAGGGAAAUUGCCGGUACCAGAAGAAUAAGCACCGGCUAACUCCGUGCCAGCAGCCGCGGUAAUACGGAGGGUGCAAGCGUUGUCCGGAUUUAUUGGGUUUAAAGGGUGCGUAGGCGGCUGAUUAAGUCAGCGGUGAAAGUUCUCGGCUCAACCGAGAGACUGCCGUUGAUACUGGUCAGCUUGAGUUAUGGAGGGGUACAUGGAAUUUAUGGUGUAGCGGUGAAAUGCAUAGAUACCAUAAGGAACACCGAUAGCGAACGCAUUGUACUGGCCAUAAACUGACGCUGAGGCACGAAAGCGUGGGUAGCGAACAGGAUUAGAUACCCUGGUAGUCCACGCCGUAAACGAUGAUCACUCGCUUUACAUUACGUAGUAUUUUGAGGCCAAGCGAAAGCGUUAAGUGAUCCACCUGGGGAGUACGCCGGCAACGGUGAA
rnacentral:rRNA from 1 species